rnacentral:rRNA from 1 species
AGAGUUUGAUUAUGGCUCAGAUUGAACGCUGGCGGCAGGCUUAACACAUGCAAGUCGAGCGGAGAGAGGUAGCUUGCUACUGAUCUUAGCGGCGGACGGGUGAGUAAUGCUUAGGAAUCUGCCUAUUAGUGGGGGACAACAUUUCGAAAGGAAUGCUAAUACCGCAUACGUCCUACGGGAGAAAGCAGGGGAUCUUCGGACCUUGCGCUAAUAGAUGAGCCUAAGUCGGAUUAGCUAGUUGGUGGGGUAAAGGCCUACCAAGGCGACGAUCUGUAGCGGGUCUGAGAGGAUGAUCCGCCACACUGGGACUGAGACACGGCCCAGACUCCUACGGGAGGCAGCAGUGGGGAAUAUUGGACAAUGGGCGCAAGCCUGAUCCAGCCAUGCCGCGUGUGUGAAGAAGGCCUUAUGGUUGUAAAGCACUUUAAGCGAGGAGGAGGCUACUUUAGUUAAUACCUAGAGAUAGUGGACGUUACUCGCAGAAUAAGCACCGGCUAACUCUGUGCCAGCAGCCGCGGUAAUACAGAGGGUGCAAGCGUUAAUCGGAUUUACUGGGCGUAAAGCGCGCGUAGGCGGCUAAUUAAGUCAAAUGUGAAAUCCCCGAGCUUAACUUGGGAAUUGCAUUCGAUACUGGUUAGCUAGAGUGUGGGAGAGGAUGGUAGAAUUCCAGGUGUAGCGGUGAAAUGCGUAGAGAUCUGGAGGAAUACCGAUGGCGAAGGCAGCCAUCUGGCCUAACACUGACGCUGAGGUGCGAAAGCAUGGGGAGCAAACAGGAUUAGAUACCCUGGUAGUCCAUGCCGUAAACGAUGUCUACUAGCCGUUGGGGCCUUUGAGGCUUUAGUGGCGCAGCUAACGCGAUAAGUAGACCGCCUGGGGAGUACGGUCGCAAGACUAAAACUCAAAUGAAUUGACGGGGGCCCGCACAAGCGGUGGAGCAUGUGGUUUAAUUCGAUGCAACGCGAAGAACCUUACCUGGCCUUGACAUAGUAAGAACUUUCCAGAGAUGGAUUGGUGCCUUCGGGAACUUACAUACAGGUGCUGCAUGGCUGUCGUCAGCUCGUGUCGUGAGAUGUUGGGUUAAGUCCCGCAACGAGCGCAACCCUUUUCCUUAUUUGCCAGCGAGUAAUGUCGGGAACUUUAAGGAUACUGCCAGUGACAAACUGGAGGAAGGCGGGGACGACGUCAAGUCAUCAUGGCCCUUACGGCCAGGGCUACACACGUGCUACAAUGGUCGGUACAAAGGGUUGCUACCUAGCGAUAGGAUGCUAAUCUCAAAAAGCCGAUCGUAGUCCGGAUUGGAGUCUGCAACUCGACUCCAUGAAGUCGGAAUCGCUAGUAAUCGCGGAUCAGAAUGCCGCGGUGAAUACGUUCCCGGGCCUUGUACACACCGCCCGUCACACCAUGGGAGUUUGUUGCACCAGGAGUAGCUAGCCUAACUGCAAAGAGGGCGGUUACCACGGUGUGGCCGAUGACUGGGGUGAAGUCGUAACAAGGUAACCCU